GAAAUAGAUGGGUUUUCUCUGGGUGUUGAAGGAAGAAGAAAAAAAAUGCAUCGGGUAAUCUUUAGACAUCCGAAUGGGAAUCCGUUUUCGCCUCUGUGAUCAAGAAAUCUACCUCUACGAACGAAGUGCUAUAUGGUUGAAUUGAGAGUCCUGAAAGUCUCAAGGCUGGUCGAACAACCAAAUUAGAGAAGAUUAAGAAUAGGCACUUUCUUGGCUUAAGCAAGACCAAGAGAUAAGAGAGAACAACUUGUGGAACGAGUUAGUACCUAAAGCUUGGAAUAUCAGGUGCUGUGCGAGAAAUAAUGGAAGAGUUGGAUUAAGGUGUGCGGUUGUAGCUUGUCAACCUAAAAGCUUCCAACCA